UUUUCCUAUUCCCCAAGCAAUAGGUGCAGAUUUUUUCUGCGUUGCCCUAAAAUGAUUCCCCCUUUGUUUAUUCCUCAACUGAACUUCAGCAUAAUCAAUAGAGACCAUGCCCAGAAAAUGUUACUUGUGUUUGAUAUGUUUGGACAGGAAUUUAGAAAUUGUGUCGAUACUCACAGAGCAUGUGAUUCAACAAGAGUCCUCCAGUGAAGAUGACAGGCUUUGGACUUAGCCAGAGUAUGUAAUUAUUUACAUGCUGACAUGAGUGCUUUGAUCGAGGUUGUUUCCUGUCACUUGGAAUUACAACAACAUCCUUGUCUCUUACCAUUUUGCUAUAGAUGCCCCAAAAUGCAUCAUUCUAAGAUAUCACAGAUUCAGGCAGAAAAUGUGCAGUUGACAAAUGAAUUGGUCAGACUUGUGCAAGAAGAACAGACAAUUUCUGAAUCAUUACAGUUUCCAAGAGCUUCACUGCAACUUUGCUCAAUGACUUGGAAGGCAGUUUAGCAGGUGCUACCACUAAAACAGUACCCUGUACUGAUGACACACAGGAGAAUAGGAAGAGGAGAGAAAGGAGCAGGCUGAGGAAGAGGUAGGUACCAGAUAUGGAAG